rnacentral:rRNA from 1 species
UACGUAGGGUCCAAGCGUUGUCCGGAUUUAUUGGGCGUAAAGAGCUCGUAGGCGGUUCGGUAAGUCGGAUGUGAAAACUCAGGGCUCAACCCGGAGACGCCAUCCGAUACUGCUGUGACUGGAGUCUGGUAGGGGAUCACGGAAUACCUGGUGUAGCGGUGAAAUGCGCAGAUAUCGGGAGGAACACCGGUGGCGAAGGCGGUUCUCUGGGCCUGACCUGACGCUGAGGAGCGAAAGCGUGGGGAGCGAACAGG